ACAGUGGACGCGAGCAUCUUUGUAGCAAGACAAGCUACUAAGGGCACAUGGUGGAUGCCUUGGCACCAAGAGCCGAUGAAGGACGUAUGAGCCUGCGAUAAGCCCCGGGGAGCUGGCAACAGAGCUGUGAUCCGGGGAUUUCCGAAUGGGGAAACCCAGCUGGAGUCAUGUCCAGUUACCUCUGCCUGAACACAUAGGGCAGUUGGAGGGAACGAGGGGAAGUGAAACAUCUCAGUACCCUCAGGAAGAGAAAACAAAAGUGAUUCCGAGAGUAGUGGCGAGCGAAAUCGGAAGAGGCCAAACUCAUGCAGUGUGAUAGCCGGCAGGCGUUGCUGUUUGAGGGUUGUGGGGCCGUUUAGUUGAUUCUGCCGAGUCAACACAGAGUAAGAAAUCAUUGAUGAAGUCGAAGAGGACUGGAAAGUCCCGGCGUAGAGGGUGAUACCCCCGUACACGUAAGUCAAUGACUCUGAAGCGUCACCCCAAGUAACACGGAACCCCUGAAAUUCCGUGUGAAUCUGGCGGGACCACCCGUUAAGCCUAAAUACUCCUUGGUGACCGAUAGCGGACAAGUACCGUGAGGGAAAGGUGAAAAGUACCCCUGGCGGGGAGUGAAAUAGUACCUGAAACCAUGUGCCUACAAUCCGUUGGAGCGGGUGUUUACACCUGUGACAGCGUGCCUUUUGAAGAAUGAGCCUGCGAGUUUGCGGUGUGUCGCAAGGUUAACCCGUGUGGGGAAGCCGUAGCGAAAGCGAGUCCUAAUAGGGCGACUGAGUGGCACGCUCAAGACCCGAAGCGAAGUGAUCUAUCCAUGGGCAGGUUGAAGCGCGGGUAAGACCGCGUGGAGGACCGAACCCACUUAGGUUGAAAACUGAGGGGAUGACCUGUGGAUAGGGGUGAAAGGCCAAUCAAACUUCGUGAUAGCUGGUUCUCCCCGAAAUGCAUUUAGGUGCAGCGUCGCGUGUUUCUUGCCGGAGGUAGAGCACUGGAUAGUCUAGGGGGCCUACAAGCUUACCGAAAUUAGCCAAACUCCGAAUGCCGGUAAGUUAGAGCGCGGCAGUGAGACAGUGGGGGAUAAGCUCCAUUGUCGAGAGGGAAACAGCCCAGACCAUCAGCUAAGGUCCCUAAGCGAUAACUAAGUGGAAAAGGAUGUGGAGUCGCACAGACAACCAGGAGGUUGGCUUAGAAGCAGCCACCCUUGAAAGAGUGCGUAAUAGCUCACUGGUCAAGUGAUUCUGCGCCGACAAUGUAGCGGGGCUCAAGUUAUCCACCGAAGCUAUGGUAUUCGUGCGUUAAGACAGGCCUUCGGGUCCAGUUGCACGGAUAGGUAGGGGAGCGUCGUGUGGCGAGUGAAGCGGCGGUGUGAACCAGUCGUGGACGCCACACGAGUGAGAAUGCAGGCAUGAGUAGCGAAUGAAGAGUGAGAAACUCUUCCGCCGAAUGAUCAAGGGUUCCAGGGUCAAGCUAAUCUGCCCUGGGUAAGUCGGGACCUAAGGCGAGGCCGACAGGCGUAGUCGAUGGACAACGGGUUGAUAUUCCCGUACCGGCAAAAUAGCGCCCAUGACGAACCCGGUGAUGCUAAGUGCCCGAAACCAUGCUUACUGACCCCUUCGGGGUGAUGGGGCAUGGCAGAGCGCACGACCCGAACCGGUAGUAGUCAAGCGAUGGGGUGACGCAGGAAGGUAGUCCAACCGUGGCGAUGGUAGACCACGGCUAAGGGUGUAGGGCUGUUGAUAGGCAAAUCCGUCAACUGCAUGCCUGAGACCUGAUGGGGAGUCCUUAUGGACGAAGUGGAUGAUCCUAUGCUGCCGAGAAAAACCUCUAGCGAGCUAUGCGCCGCCCGUACCCCAAACCGACUCAGGUGAUCAGGUAGAGAAUACUAAGGCGAUCGAGUGAACUAUGGUUAAGGAACUCGGCAAAAUGCCCCCGUAACUUCGGGAGAAGGGGGGCCGGAUUUGUUAUUGCACUUGCUGCAAAAAGCAAUGAUGGCCGCAGAGACCAGGCCCAAGCGACUGUUUACUAAAAACACAGGUCCGUGCGAAGUUGUAAGACGAUGUAUACGGACUGACUCCUGCCCGGUGCUGGAAGGUUAAGGGGACCUGUUAGAUCUUCGGAUCGAAGCGGAGAACUUAAGCCCCAGUAAACGGCGGUGGUAACUAUAACCAUCCUAAGGUAGCGAAAUUCCUUGUCGGGUAAGUUCCGACCUGCACGAAUGGAGUAACGACUUGGGCGCUGUCUCAACCAUAGACUCGGCGAAAUUGCACUACGAGUAAAGAUGCUCGUUACGCGCGGCAGGACGGAAAGACCCCGGGACCUUUACUAUAGUUUGGUAUUGGUGUUUGGUUCGAUUUGUGUAGGAUAGGUGGGAGACUGUGAAACUUGGACGCCAGUUCAGGUGGAGUCAACGUUGAAAUACCACUCUGAUCGUAUUAGACAUCUAACCUAGGUCCAUUAUCUGGAUCAGGGACAGUGCCUGAUGGGUAGUUUAACUGGGGCGGUUGCCUCCUAAAAUGUAACGGAGGCGCUCAAAGGUUCCCUCAGCCUGGUUGGCAAUCAGGUUUCGAGUGUAAGUGCACAAGGGAGCUUGACUGUGAGAGUGACAACUCGAGCAGGGACGAAAGUCGGAACUAGUGAUCCGGCGCUGGCAUGUGGAAGCGGCGUCGCUCAACGGAUAAAAGGUACCCCGGGGAUAACAGGCUGAUCUUCCCCAAGAGUCCAUAUCGACGGGAUGGUUUGGCACCUCGAUGUCGGCUCGUCGCAUCCUGGGGCUGGAGUAGGUCCCAAGGGUUGGGCUGUUCGCCCAUUAAAGCGGCACGCGAGCUGGGUUUAGAACGUCGUGAGACAGUUCGGUCCCUAUCCGCCGCGCGCGCAGGAAACUUGAGAAAGGCUGUCCCUAGUACGAGAGGACCGGGAUGGACGAACCUCUGGUGUGCCAGUUGUUCCGCCAGGAGCACGGCUGGUUAGCUACGUUCGGAAGUGAUAACCGCUGAAAGCAUCUAAGCGGGAAGCACGUUUCAAGAUGAGGUUUCCCACCGGGUUAACCGGGUAAGGCCCCCAGUAGACGACUGGGUUGAUAGGCCGGAAGUGUAUAGCAGUAAUGCCUAGCUGACCGGUACUAAUAGGCCGAGGGCUUGUCCCUCAA
rnacentral:rRNA from 1 species